rnacentral:rRNA from 1 species
AGCAGCCGCGGUUAAUUCCAGCUCCAAUAGCGUAUAUUAAAGUUGUUGCAGUUAAAAAGCUCGUAGUUGAAUUUCGGGGUUAGUAGGUUGGUCGUGCCACUGGUACGUACCGGUCUCACUGACUCCUCCUUCCUGAUGAACUGUAAUGCCAUUAAUUUGGUGUUGCGGGGAAACUGGGCUGUUACUUUGAAAAAAUUAGAGUGUUUAAAGCAAGCUAACGCUUGAAUACAUUAGCAUGGAAUAAUGAAAUAGGACGUUCGAUCCUAUUUUGUUGGUUUCUAGGAUUGACGUAAUGAUUAAUAGGGAUAGUUGGGGCAUUAGUAUUCAAUUGUCAGAGGUGAAAUUCUUGGAUUUAUUGAAGACUAACUACUGCGAAAGCAUUUGCCAAGGAUGUUUUCAUUAAUCAAGAACGAAAGUUAGGGGAUCGAAGACGAUCAGAUACCGUCGUAGUCUUAACCAUAAACUAUGCCGACUAGGGAUCGGAUGAUGUUAAUUUUUUAAUGACUCAUUCGGCGCCUUA